rnacentral:rRNA from 1 species
AGCGAACGCUGGCGGCAGGCCUAACACAUGCAAGUCGAACGAAGUCUUCGGACUUAGUGGCGGACGGGUGAGUAACACGUGGGAACGUGCCUUUAGGUUCGGAAUAACUCAGGGAAACUUGUGCUAAUACCGAAUGUGCCCUUCGGGGGAAAGAUUUAUCGCCUUUAGAGCGGCCCGCGUCUGAUUGGCUAAUUGGUGAGGUAAAGGCUCACCAAGGCUACGAUCAGUAGCUGGUCUGAGAGGAUGACCAGCCACAUUGGGACUGAGACACGGCACAAACUCCUACGGGAGGCAGCAGUGGGGAAUCUUGCGCAAUGGGCGAAAGCCUGACGCAGCCAUGCCGCGUGGAUGAUGAAGGUCUUAGGAUUGUAAAAUCCUUUCACCGGUGAAGAUAAUGACUGUAGCCGGAGAAGAAGCCCCGGCUAACUUCGUGCCAGCAGCCGCAGUAAGAC